CACUAACCCCAUCCAUUUACUUAGUUAAAUAUUGAUCAUGUGCCCCUCACAUGAGGGGCAUUUAUGUCAACUCACAUACCCAGCUAUAAAUAAACCCUUUAAUAAAAAAAAAAAACCAUUUUCUUCUAUCUCUCUUCAUCCUCAACAUUUGAGAAUAUCCCCUGAACCCUUAUUUGAACCUUCAUGAUUGAUUCGAACAACCAUUACAACCCAAUGCCACCACUCAGUCGCCACCACCUCCACCUUCAUCACGCUUCCAACAUGAUCAGUUUGCUGGAACUAUCUUUGACUCGCAACCCAACACCAGCAAAAGCCCUAGAUCUAGAAGUAGCUGUUGAUGGCAUGGGGGUGGUUGUGGUCGGGGUGCGGUGGGUUGGUGGCGGCACUAUGGUAGUGAUGGCGGUUGCUAAUUUCUUGUUAUAUUUUCAAGACUUCUUCAAGAGUUCUUCACCCAACAUAAUUCAAAUCAAACCUCACAAAAUGGCAUCCGCAGUGAUCUUCUCAUCCUUUGUCACCGUCAAAUUCGAACUUCGCCGACAGAGCCAUGGUGGUAUAGAACCGCCGGGAAUGAAGCGGGAACUCGAUUAGGUUCCUGAAUCGGUUGGCUUUCUCCAAGAUAAUGAAGAAGCUUUGUGUUUUGGGGUUUUCAUCUGCUGUGAAAUCUUGGUAACAAAUGACGAAAAUUAGGCCUUUUUACAGCGAAUAAGAACAAAAUUGUCAAGUGAGUAUUGUUGAUUUCGAAACAGGGAUGUGAAAUUGUAAAGGUGUGGGGGGUCUCAAUCGUUGGUGGUGUUGAUUACGGUGACUGGUGGUGGGUGUUGAGAGAAGGAGGUAAAGGGAUAAGGGAUGAGAGAGAUAUUUCUUUUUUGUUAUUUAUAAUAAAAUAUAUAGUUUUUUUAAUAGAAGGGUAUUUUUGUCA